rnacentral:rRNA from 1 species
CAGUCGCCGCGGUAAUACGAAGGGGGCUAGCGUUGUUCGGAAUUACUGGGCGUAAAGCGCACGUAGGCGGAUAUUUAAGUCAGGGGUGAAAUCCCAGAGCUCAACUCUGGAACUGCCUUUGAUACUGGGUAUCUUGAGUAUGGAAGAGGUGAGUGGAAUUCCGAGUGUAGAGGUGAAAUUCGUAGAUAUUCGGAGGAACACCAGUGGCGAAGGCGGCUCACUGGUCCAUUACUGACGCUGAGGUGCGAAAGCGUGGGGAGCAAACAGGAUUAGAUACCCCCGUAGUCCCUGUCUCUUAUAC